UCCAGAUUGUUUCAUCAACUACAUCGUAAGAAACUAAUCUUUUGUGAUUGUGUUGUUUUCACAUUUGUAGGAAAUGCCUCAUGUCUUCCGAAAGCCUAAACACUGUCAUGCAAAUCAAACCCCUUCAUAAAUGAUUAGAGGUGUUCUCAGGAGAAGUGAGGAUCUGGGUUCAGGUUCAGAUCAAACCAUGUUCUCUACACUUCUACUCUUGCUGUUAACAGCUACAUCUGGUAUUAAAUGUAUUGAACUGGUUCAGCCUGCAGUCAUACUGGUUAAGCCUGGAGAAUCAUUUUCAGUCCCCUGUAAGAUCACUGGAUACUCAGCCACUAGUCAAUGUACUAACUGGAUACGACAAUCAGGACAAAAACUGAAAUGGAUCGGCUGGUACUGCAGCUCCAGUAAUACUGGCAGCAGCGAUUCACUAAAGAACAAGAUCCGUUUCUCAGCUGAUGCCUCCACCAACACUGUGACUUUACAUGGGCAAUUUCAGACUGAGGACACAGCUGUGUGAUGAACA